CUACGGGUGGCACCAGCGAGGAAUAUUGCACAAUGGGGGGAACCCUGAUGCAGCAACGCCGCGUGGAGGAUGACGCAUUUCGGUGUGUAAACUCCUUUUAUAUGUCAAGAAAAUGACGGUAGCAUAUGAAUAAGCACCGGCUAACUCCGUGCCAGCAGCCGCGGUAAUACGGAGGGUGCAAGCGUUACUCGGAAUCACUGGGCGGAAAGGACGCGUAGGCGGGUUGGAAAGUCAGGUGUGAAAUCCUACAGCUUAACUGUAGAACUGCACUUGAAACUUCUAAUCUAGAGUAUGGGAGGGGGAGAUGGAAUUAGUGGUGUAGGGGUAAAAUCCGUAGAUAUCACUAGGAAUACCUAAAGCGAAGGCGAUCUCCUGGAACAUUACUGACGCUAAGGCGUGAAAGCGUGGGGAGCAAACAGGAUUAGAUACCCGUGUAGUC
rnacentral:rRNA from 1 species